AAAAGAAGGUUGGAGUGCAGCUUGGAGGUUUAUCUAUACUGUUCACCUGUGACUAAGGAGUUGUUGUUAACGAGCCGGAAAUACAGAUUUUGGAAGAAACAAAUUAUAUCUAUUGAAAUCGAGACUCCUACCCAGAUAUCUUUAGUGGAUGAAGCAUCAGGAGAGGUUUUUAUUUCAGGGCAAUAAUGGAACUAUCUUGUACACAGGAGACUUCAGAUUGGUGCAAGGAGAAGCUGCUAGAAUGGAGCUUCUGUACUCCAGGGGCAGAGUCAAAGACAUCCAAAGUGUAUAUUUAGAUACUAUGUUGUGUGAUCCAAGAUUUUACCAAAUUCCAAGUCGGGAGGAGUGUUUAAGUGGAGUCUUAGAGCUGGUUCAAAGCUGGAUCACUCGGAGCCUGUACCGUGUUGUGUGGCUGAACUGCAAAGCGGCUUAUGGCUAUGGAUAUUUGUUCACCAACCUUAGUGAAGAAUUAGGAGUCCAGGCAAAAGAGGGUUGUAUCCAAACGAUACAGACCCACAGAGUCGAACA
rnacentral:lncRNA from 1 species